rnacentral:rRNA from 1 species
AAUGAACGUUGGCGGCAUGGAUUAGGCAUGCAAGUCGAGCGAGAAGAGUUUUGAAGCUUGCUUUAGAACUCGGACAGCGGCGAAAGGGAGAGUAACGCGUAGUUAUGUGCCCUAGGGUCCGGAACAGCCACGGGAAACUGUGGGUAAUGCCGGAUAACAUCCCCGGAUCAAAGGUGUGAUUCCGCCCUAGGAGCAGACUGCGUCCUACUAGCUAGUUGGUGGGGUAAUGGCCCACCAAGGCAAUGAUGGGUAGCGGGUGUGAGAGCAUGACCCGUCUCACUGGGACUGAGACACUGCCCAGACACCUACGGGUGGCUGCAGUCGAGAAUCUUCGGCAAUGGGCGAAAGCCUGACCGAGCGAUGCCGCGUGCGGGAUGAAGGCCCUCGGGUUGUAAACCGCUGUCGUAGGGGAGGAAGGUUCCGUGAAGAGCGGAAUUUGACCUAUCCUAGGAGGAAGUACGGGCUAAGUUCGUGCCAGCAGCCGCGGUAA